rnacentral:lncRNA from 13 species
UGAACUCGCGAGGCGGAGCGAGGCAGCCGAAGAUCGAAGAGCGAAGAAGGAAGACUUAUCGCGGCUCGAGGAGAUCUUGAUGGAAUCCCGAGUACGCUUUCUCCCCCCGUGGUCUUUGUUCGUUCGUCAAGGGGGACACAACGCGGCCAAGUGUAACGCGGCAGGAACCGUGUGUGUGUGGGCCUGGAGCCACUCUUAUUCGUGCGCCCUUACUCGGAUGAUCGAGGACGACGGGGUCGCGCGCGAGUACGUACACGUGCGAGUCAUCGCACGAUUAAAACAGCUUCCUUAUAAUCCGUUCGCCGUGAAAUCCGGCGACAGCCGUAAGGAGAAGGAGGAGGAGAAACGAAUGUGAAUCACAGCGGAACGGCAAGAAAGGUACGUGAUUCAUCGCGCGGGGAGAAUCGUGAGCCGCAGAAUCGGUAGAGAGAAGGUUCCGCGGCGCCCGAUGAGAUUGCACACAGCGAGACACAGCCGGCUCUGUGUGAGAAACGCGACCGUCGGGCAGGAGAUAAUGGAAGAGUACUGACGUUAUCGACGCUUUCGGUUAACCGGACACCCAGCACUUGCACGUCCGCAACGCGGAGUCAAGAAAGACAGGACCAUGGCACAAAAAAAACUUAAGCAGUGCACGAAGUGGGCAGAAACGCAUCGGGAUCGGCGGCGGUCAAUGAUACGGAAGGUACAUACACAGCAUCUCACCUUCGGGUGAGGUGCAUGAGGAUGAGAUCAAAAGGGA